UGCUCUCUCCUGGGAGAGAGGUGAGACACUGGAGCUGCAGUGUGGAACUUUUCCUGUUUGGGGAAAAGUGUGCUGGGAAUUGUUUUCCUCUAAGAGCUGGAGGAAUAUUUAUCCACAGAGGUGGAUGGCAAGGACCAGCUACUGUAUGUUGCCCUAAAGACUGAGGGGUUGAAGUGCAGGAAUACCACAAAAGACGAUGGACCCCAGGCUAGAUGUCUGGGUUGCUGAUCCGCCAAUUAUGGCAUAUAAGAAGCCACUAAUUUGAAAGAUCGAUUGGUUCAUGGUUUGAAUACUCCAGAUAGGAAACAUGGAAAAUGGUUGAGUGGAUCCAAAGGCCUUCUACAUGAGAGAAAAAUAUGUAUACAGCAAGGAUAUAGAAAUUAGGAAUGAUGAUAUUGAACUUUGAGAACUCUUUUGAAAACUUGAAGCAAAUUAAUAUAUGGCCUUGGAGGAUUGGGAAUGGUUUUAAGGAAAAUAUGAUGUGUAUUUAUUGUAUUUUAAUAAUUUAAGAUGAUAUCCAUUAAUUUACACACAAGCACUUUAUAUUUGUUAUACCUCACUGUUUUAAGGUGGGUUAAUAUAUGUAACACUGAUAUUUGUGAAUAUUGAUACUGACACUUUUAUGAAAUACAUUGUUUGAUUUAUGAUGUAAGUACACAGUUUUAAUAUUUGAUAUAAAUGAUGUUUUACUACUGUCACAUGACUAUAUAUUGGCAUAUUUUUUUUGAUCUUUUGGUAUGAGAUUGUAUUUUGCUAUAUAUGCAAUAUUUUGGUUAAAUAAAAAUUGAUUUGUUAAAUAAAAAUAUUUUUUUAACUAUAA